CUAUGGGAUGGAGGUAAUGAUUCCACUAGAGACCAGAUUGCCAUUAGUAAGAGUGGAGCAGUAUAAUGAGUCGAGUAAUUCUGAAUAUCGAAGAGCCAACCUAGACUUACUUUCAAAAAUCCGACAACAAGCUCAAGUUUGAAUGGCAAAAUGUCGGUAAAGAAUAGCCUGGUAUUACAAUACAAAAGCCAAGCCGAAGGUCUUUCAUCCAGGAGAUCUGGUUUUAAGAAAAGUAAAAGUUUCAAAGCCUCU
rnacentral:lncRNA from 1 species